GGCUUCCUGUGUGUGGUUCCCAAUUCCAUCUUCCUGACUUUUCACUCACUGGCUGGAAGCCCCUUCCCGAGAGCCAUGACAGGAAGAACACUGGCCCCCCAGGCCCCAGACUGGAGCCUAACGGUCACGGAAUUGCGCAGAUGAAUCUUUAAAAAAAAAGAUGAACUAUUUCAAGCAUCAGAAAAAUGGAGAGCCAUACAGCAGACACCUGUGACACCGCCUACGCUAGCAAAGCAUGACACGGCAAAGUGCACACAUCCUACAUGAUCACGUGAUGAGCCUCUGUACAGGGACUUAGCAGGGUGGCCUCCAUCAAUCCUGGGCAAGCCUGUGGCCUUGGGAAGGUCAUGGUCUCCAUUCCGUGGGUAAGGAAAUGAAAGAGCAGAGAGGUUAAAUGCUUUUUCCAAGGUUCCCAGCUAGGAAGAGCCAUAACAGAGGAGGCACAGCCAGACCUCAGGGAAUAGCUCUGAGAGGUCCAGGCCGAGGCUGGGCAGGGGAGGGGAGCAUCUACACAGGAAAGGAAAAUUUCAGAAGAAAUACCAGUCCUUUGAACAUCUUAGGCUUUUACAAAAGAAGAAAAAAAAAGCAAACAAAAACAAGAAACCCACAUCUCUGCAUUGUUCUCAUUUGUCUCAUUUUGCUUCCAACGGCCCCAGCCCCCAGCCUGGUGUCGGGGGACCCCGAUUGGGGGAUGGUCAAAGCUCCUCUCCAGGACUGCCAGGUCCCGGGGCUGAGGCCCGAGUUUCCAGAUUUAGCAAGUAAAAGUACAGGAUGCCCAGUUACAUGCUAACUUCAGAUAAACAAUAAUUUUUUUCAAGUAUGCCUUUAUGUCUUAAAAACUACGUGGGACGUAGUCAUCCUACAGAAAUAUUUGCUGCUCACCUGGAAGUUCAAAUCUCACGGGGCGUUCUGUGUUCGGUCCUGCAACUUGACCAAGGGACACCCGCAGAGCACAGGGCUGAGCGGAGUGUGCCCAGAGCGCCGGAGGGUGCCUGCCCCCACCCCCUGCCCUGGCUCUGUGACCCGAGGCACCUGCACCGCAGCCCCUGGCAGGCCUUGUAUUUACUUAUGCUUUUAAUGAGAGCAAAUUAAGAUUCACUUACUCUGGAGAACUGUGACAUGAUGGCUCUUAUGAGAAGUGGAGACACCUGGCUUUUCUCGGCCUGGCGUGUCCUGCGUGGGGCUCCGCGGUCCCAUGUUUAUGGCACCGGGGGAGGGAAGGCCGCUCCUGCCCUCACUCACUCACCGUCCACCUGGGGAUGAGGGGAGCCCACUGUCCCACCACAGCCCCACCACAGCCCGGGGCACACGUUGUUCUUGCCAUGGGACGGGGGAGGAAGCAGAAGCACAGACUUCGCUCCUGCAGGGGCCCAUCCCGGUGAUAUGUGGAGCUCUGGGAUGUCCACCCGGGCCCUGGGGUUUCCCUGCAGCAGGUCGGUGGCUUGAGCCCAGGGAGCACUUGGGAAAGCUCCACCGCCAGACCUCCUGAUCCAACGGGCCUGGCCCGGGGCCUGGUGGGGAGCUCUGAAAGCUCGCUGGGCGAUGCCAGGGGACAGAGACGAAUCUGGCAUCUCCCCGCGGUUCCUCCCGCCCCGUGGAGAAGGAGGAGGGGGAACUCCGGGGUGCUGAGGCCCGAGGGCAUGCUGGGGGCACGGGGGGGCAUGAGCAGAGGCACAGAAGUGGGCUGUGCUCCUGGGCCAGUAGAGGGCUGAGCUCCAAAGGCGGGCUUGCCUCUGGCUUUCCUACCCACCUUGCUAGGGAUUCCUGUUACUUCCACCCCCCAGCCCCAGCCAAAAGCAUGGGUGCGGUGUCAGUGAGGGUGCCAGUCUCUUUCCCGCCUUGCCACGGGGCCUGGCGAUUUUCCCAUGGGAAAGCUCAUUCUGGCUCCUCCUCCUGGAGGGCAGUGGCGGGGAGAGGGGGAGCAGGCAAGAGGAAGUGACAAGGGCAAAGGAGAGCAGGCCCAGGUCAACGAGCCUUCAUGCGCAGCUGACAUUGGAGUCUGGCAGACUCCCCUGGCUGAUGGGUGGCCCUCCCCGCCCCCACUGACCAAUGGCCCUUCCAUGAGCAUCCUUUCCCAGAGCAUGUCCCGGGGAACCCGCAAGGCACUCGUAACAAAAGAGUCCUGGCGUCCUAAGUUUGGGAAACCCUACGUACUGUAACUCUGGUCAGAGCCUCACAACAUCCACGAGGACAUUAAAGGUUCUGAGAAGUCCUACAGCAAAAUGCUGCCCCAUUAGUUUUCUUUGAUGUAAGUGUGGAUGCCUAGUGACCUCAGAGCCUUCUCCAUAUAACGAGGAGCCCCGCGAGCGUCGUGGAACGCGUCCUGUGGACGGACAGUGGCUGCUCCCCGGCGUCCUGAGAAUGGGUCCCAAGAGAGGUGCGGGAAGUGGAGGCGUCAUUUGGAUCCGUGGUGCCAGGUCAGUCUGCCAGAAGGGCCCCCCCCCCUUCCUCGGGCUGCCAGUGAGGAGGGAGGCGCCUUCCCUGAGGAGUGGCUGGGCCCGGGUCCAGGACGGAUCUGCCUCGCAGAGCCUCAGUUGCUAUUUGCCGCCCGACUUGGAGGAGUGUCGGAUUCAGACUCAGGAUCUGCGGGCCCAGCGCUGGCUUUUGCGGCCUUGGGAGAAGCUUUGCUUCGUGGGGAGGGAAAUCCAGCGUGGGGGCCCUGGGUGACCUCGCACUCUGUGUCCUAUGUUCUGCAGAAUGGGCUCUCGAGAAAACCUCCCUGGAAAUGAAGGUUAAAGUUGCUUUGAAAGUUGGCCGUCCAGACUGCCUCGAGGUAGAAAAAACCUUGCUUGAGGUCCUGAUAAUGAUGAGUUUGAGUGUAAAAGAUCUGAAAGUCAGGCAAAGCUGGGAAAGUGUACCAACGACGACCUCAAAGACAGGUGUCUCUGGACACAGCUAAGGAUACCCAUUGACAUAAGCCUGUCCAUAUGUGCGCCCGCCGGUAUGGAUGGCUGUUUUCUCAGAUGAGAGCAAAGUACCUUUAUCAUGGAAAACACAGAAAAAUACAAGGAAGAAACCAAGUCACCCAUAAUCCCACGUUGGGUGGGCACUGCUGUUAGCCUCCAGUGCAGCAUUUCCUAUAUUUUAAUGUUUUCUCCUACUAUACACAUCACGUUUCUGUUUUCUAGACAAGAUGUCUGUGUAGCUACAGCCACUGAAGCCUUCUUUUUGUUUUUUAGUAAAGUCUGUGCCCGACUUAGGGCUCGACCUCAUGACCCCGAGAUCGAGCGUCGCAUGCUCCCCUCCAACGACUGAGCCCAGCCCGCAGCCAUCAUUUCUUAAAAAUAACUUAUUGAGAUGAAAAUCACAUAAAAUAAAAUAACCACAUAAGGCGAGCAAGUCGGUGGCGUUGGACGCUUUCACGGUGUGCGACCAGCACCCUAUCUAGUUUCAAAACUUUUCUGGAGUCUUACCGAAGCUGUGUGUACUCCUCCACCAAAGAAGGGGCUGUGACUUCUCGAACACUAAAGCCGUUACCGAAUACUGGCUUUAAUUCCCUGUACUGCCAGCAGCUGCUGAGAAGGUCCAGCCUGCACCUGUUGUCCAUGUGUCUGUCUGUUCCCCUCCCACCGUCCAGCGGACUCUGGGAGGGAUCUUGACAGCCGAGACCUACCUCUGAGGCCCAGACACAGACACCACUGCCCAGCUGACGGCUCCCCUUGGAUGCUUAAAGGCCUCCCCAACACGACGUGCCUGAAGCCUAGCCUGUCCUCCGUCUCUCUUUCCUCUCUCUCAGCCGUCCUGAUUUAGCCCAUCCCCAGGCCCAGGUGACUUUACCUCCGGGGCUCCUUUCUGAUACGCUGCAAUUUCUCCCUUUGAAUCUUGCCAUCCUCUUCCCCUGCCCCCAUCAUCGUCCUCGCCUGGGACACUGCCUUAGGCUCCCCCUGGACUCUGGCCCCCCUCCUGUCACUUGCAGUCCAUCUACAGCUGCUGUUUCAGAGUGCCGGUCUGCUCACGCCAGCCCUACUCCUCCAUUCUUGGAACUGUCCCAUGACCUCCCAUUCUUUUUCAGGAUAAAGGUCCAAGUUGUUAAUGUGUCUGUAAGGCCUGCUUCCUCCACCAUUUUUCCAGCUUCUCUGGGCUCAAGCCUCCCGUGUCCUCCUCUACCACAGGACCUUUGUACAGGCUGUUCUCUGCCUGUCCUCUCCUUACCCUCCAUUGCUCCUGGUUAAUCCUUGCUCAUCUUUCUGAUCUCAGCCCAGUCUCCCCUCCUACAAGAAGCCCUCCCUGACCCCAGACCACAUGUGAAGCUUUCAGUGUCUACUCUGAUUGCAUCAUCUGUGUUGGUUUGGUUAAUGUCUGUUUUCCCGACCCAGCUCCAAGCAUUAGAGGGAAGGAGCCAUAAUGAGUAAUCAAGAACUAUACAUUGAAUCAGUCAACGAAAAAACAAUGUAGUUAAGAGGACAAAGCUCCUGACCCGUAUUUGCCACAGUGCUUUCCGGACAGGUGCGAGCAGGGGGCACUCCCCCAUUGCAUAUGCUAGUGUCAGAAUAGCCACACCUUGACCGUAAAUUCUGCCCGUGCGGCAGAGCCUCAGUCAUCUGAUGAGUUCAAGCUCAGGGAUGGCACGAGUAGGAGAACAGUCAGCAGCAGACAUGCUGAGCUGAGCUGAAGAAGCCGAGAUAGCCACCCACCUGGCGUGACCGGGAUCCACUCAGGACAGAGGACAAGGGUGAUACCCCUGGAUGGCUUAUUGGAACCGAGGCUGGCCCCUCGGGCCUGGAAACCUGGGUGGGAUGUCCAGGAAAAGGACUGGCGAGACGUUGACAGAAGGCAGAGAAGAAAAGGAGAGCAGGGGCGGUGGGUUUGGAAGCAGAGGCGGCUGGCAUUGGGCGGUGGCUGGAGCUGGAGGUCUGAGGCCCGCAGAUGACGCGGGAGGUGCUGCGAGGGGAGCACGUGGAGGCUCACCCCGCUGGGACCCGGGCUGGGAAGACCCAGAGACCAGGUCUGCUGACCAGAUCUCUCCUUGAGGCCUUCUUGGGGCAGGCUGCCUCUGUGAUGGUCCCCAAGACGUCUGCCUCCCUCCUGGUAUUCCGGACGGCCACCUCCGUGAUCAGAACACGAGAUCACCGUUUCCGUCUUCCCCACAGACCGUCUUCCGCUGAUGGACUAGUUGCCGUGUCGGGGAGUCCCAAGUGUCAAGGUGCCACCAGCUGGUGCCAAACUGAGACCUUCCAAGAGCCUCCAAGGCUCAGUUCUGGCCACCAUCCCGUGAACUUGGAGGGGGAUCCUUCCCUAGUGGAAUCUUUAGAGGAGAUCCCCCGAACCAGCCCCUUGACAGCCAUCUGUGAGACCCUCUGGAGCCCAGAGCCCAGCUGAGCCACGCACCCAGUCCUGACGCACAGAAUCCACGGGAUGUUAAACGUGUCAUUUUGAGCCACUAAGUUUGGGACGAUUUGUUUGCACGGGCAGUUGACCAGUUCCCUCCCGUGUGCCUUGGUUUCUGCAUCUCACAGAAGUCUGGAGUGGCUCAAGUUCAAGGGUUACAAUUAAACAACAAGCCCUCCCACGUUCAGACGGAAGGGACGCAGGGAGGAACGCCAAGGUCACAGUGUGCAAUGGGGAUGGAGACCGUACUGUGGCCGGUUUUUGGGAGGUAAUCUCGGACACAGCCUGACCUUGGGCCACAGCAGCUCGCGUGCUCCCACGUGCCAAGUACGCUCGCCCACGCCCAAGACGUCUCCCGGACGUCUGCUCCACGUGCUGUGGACCAGAUUCCAGGUGCAGGAUUCAGUCCAGUCGCUCAGGCCACCUGGUGCCGAUGGGACUGGGAGUGGGGAGGGCUCCUCCAGGGCUCUCCUGACCUGAGGCUGUUCUCAGAGUCACGCUUCCUCCUUCAUAAGAAAGCAGAGUUUGCAACUGAAUAGCUUCCCCCCCACUUCUUCCUCUAAAAGUCUGAGAGU